rnacentral:rRNA from 1 species
AACGAACGCUGGCGGCAUGCCUAACACAUGCAAGUCGAACGAGACCUUCGGGUCUAGUGGCGCACGGGUGCGUAACGCGUGGGAACCUGCCCUUAGGUUCGGAAUAACUCCCCGAAAGGGGUGCUAAUACCGGAUAAUGUCUUCGGACCAAAGAUUUAUCGCCUUUGGAUGGGCCCGCGUUGGAUUAGCUAGUUGGUAGGGUAAAAGCCUACCAAGGCGACGAUCCAUAGCUGGUCUGAGAGGAUGAUCAGCCACACUGGGACUGAGACACGGCCCAGACUCCUGCGGGAGGCAGCAGUGGGGAAUAUUGGAACAUGGGCGAAAGCCUGAUCCAGCGAUGCCGCGUGAGUGAUGAAGGCCUUAGGGUUGUAAAGCUCUUUUACCCGCCAUGAUAAUGACAUCCCCGGGAGAAUAAGCUCCGGCUAACUCCGUG